rnacentral:miRNA from 1 species
UCCUUGACCUGAUGCUGUAGGG